rnacentral:rRNA from 1 species
UACGAAGGGGGCUAGCGUUGUUCGGAUUUACUGGGCGUAAAGCGCACGUAGGCGGAUUGUUAAGUCAGGGGUGAAAUCCUGGAGCUCAACUCCAGAACUGCCUUUGAUACUGGCAAUCUAGAGUCCGGAAGAGGUGAGUGGAACUCCUAGUGUAGAGGUGGAAUUCGUAGAUAUUAGGAAGAACACCAGUGGCGAAGGCCGCUCACCGGUCCGGUACUGACGCUGAGGUGCGAAAGCGUGGGGAGCAAACAGG